AUUGAACGCUGGCGGCAGGCCUAACACAUGCAAGUCGAGCGGAUGAAGGGAGCUUGCUCCUGGAUUCAGCGGCGGACGGGUGAGUAAUGCCUAGGAAUCUGCCUGGUAGUGGGGGAUAACGUCCGGAAACGGGCGCUAAUACCGCAUACGUCCUGAGGGAGAAAGUGGGGGAUCUUCGGACCUCACGCUAUCAGAUGAGCCUAGGUCGGAUUAGCUAGUUGGUGGGGUAAAGGCCUACCAAGGAGACGAUCCGUAACUGGUCUGAGAGGAUGAUCAGUCACACUGGAACUGAGACACGGUCCAGACUCCUACGGGAGGCAGCAGUGGGGAAUAUUGGGCAGUGGGCGAAAGCCUGAUCCAGCCAGGCCGCGUGUGUGAAGAAGGUCUUCGGAUUGUAAAGCACUUUAAGUUGGGAGGAAGGGCAGUAAGUUAAUACCUUGCUGUUUUGACGUUACCAACAGAAGAAGCACCGGCUAACUUCGUG
rnacentral:rRNA from 1 species